rnacentral:rRNA from 1 species
AGCGAACGCUGGCGGCAGGCCUAACACAUGCAAGUCGAACGAACCCUUCGGGGUUUGUGGCGGACGGGUGAGUAACACGACGGAACGUUACUUUAGGGUCGGCAUAACUCAGAGAAACGGGUGCUAAUAGCGAACGUGUGCUUCGGCGGAAAGAUUUAUCGACUUGAGAGCGGCCGGCGUCUGAUUAGCUAGUUGGUUGAGGUAAUGGCUCACCAAGGCGACGAUCAGUAGAUGGGCUGAGAGGAUGGUCAGCAACAUCGGGAGUGAGACACGGCCUGAACUCCUACGGGAGGGAGGAGAGGGGAAUGGUGCGCAAUGGGCGGAAGGAUGACGGAUCCAUGCCGGGAGAAUGAUGAAGUUAUUAGGAUUGUAGAAUUCUUUUACCGGGGACGAUAAUGACGGUACCCAAAGAAGAAGCCACGGCUAACUACGUG